rnacentral:rRNA from 1 species
CAGCAGCCGCGGUAAUACGAAGGGUGCAAGCGUUAAUCGGAAUUACUGGGCGUAAAGCGCACGUAGGCGGAUCGAUCAGUCAGGGAUGAAAUCCUGGAGCUCAACUCCAGAACUGCCUUUGAUACUGUCGAUCUCGAGUCCGGAAGAGGUGAGUGGAACUCCUAGUGUAGAGGUGGAAUUCGUAGAUAUUAGGAAGAACACCAGUGGCGAAGGCGGCUUACUGGCUCAUACUGGACGCUGAGGUGCGAAAGCGUGGGGAGCAAACAGGAUUAGAUACCCGAGUAGUCCCUGUCUCUUAUAC